rnacentral:tRNA from 1 species
GAUUAAAUGGCUGAUAAAAGUAAUAGAUUGUAAAUCUAUAAAUAAGAAAAAAAGAAUUCUUUUUAAUCA